rnacentral:lncRNA from 1 species
CCGCGUCUCUCUCUCUCUCUCUCUCUCUCUCUCUCUCUCUCUCUCUCUCUUUUUCCUCUCUCUCUCUCUCUCUUCUCUCUCUCUCUCUCACUCACUCACUCUCUCUCUCCCUCUCCCUCUCCUCUCCUUCCUCCUCCGCCUCCUCAGCUCUUGGGCUAGAAUAUCUAUGGGUCGAAACGUGAUGCGAUGAAUUCGAGAGAGAGCGAAACUAGGACGAGGAGUGCGGCGGAAGCGGCGGGACUCCCGGGCAUGGGGGCUUCACCACAAUAGAGGCAGCGCCCCCACCCGCCCCCGCCAGCCCCUCCGGAGCGAAGCCCCCAAACCCCCUCGGGAAAAGGAUGGCGGCAGCACCUACCCAGAUCGAAGCCGAGCUGUAUUACCUGAUCGCUAGGUUCUUGCAGUCUGGACCCUGCAACAAAUCCGCUCAGGUGCUAGUGCAGGAGCUCGAGGAGCAUCAGCUGAUUCCGCGCCGCUUAGAUUGGGAGGGGAAAGAGCACCGAAGAAGCUUCGAGGAUCUGACUGUAAGAGUACACUAUGGAAUGGGUCUGCUUUUGCGGCUCUGCAUAGAGGCAGACCUCCAGAACUACCUGUAAAUUAUGUGAAACCUCCAAAUGUGGUUAAAAUGGCCAGUGGAUCUGCCUUUGCCUGAAAGAAAGACUUCAUUGCUCUUAAAAUUGGGCAGUCAUACAUAUGGUGGAUAGGUGUGAGGAGUGAAUAUCACCUCUGCCAGGCAAUUAACCGGCUGUAGUCGCUUUGGUCAUAUUUUCCCUUCAUCUGCUUACCAGCACAUUAAGAUGCAUAAGAGAAUUCUGGGGCACUUGUCAUCUGUCUACUGUGUAGCAUUUGACCGAAGCGGGAGAAGAAUUUUUACAGGUUCAGAUGACUGUUUAGUAAAAAUUUGGGCUACAGAUGAUGGACGCCUUCUUGCUACACUUCGUGGACACUCUGCUGAAAUUUCUGACAUGGCUGUUAACUAUGAAAACACUCUUAUUGCUGCAGGCAGCUGUGAUAAGGUAGUAAGAGUAUGGUGUCUUCGAACUUGUGCACCCGUUGCAGUCCUUCAGGGCCAUUCAGCUUCUAUUACUUCCAUACAGUUUUGUCCAUCAACUAAAGGCACAAACAGAUACCUCACUUCUACUGGUGCUGAUGGAACAAUCUGUUUCUGGCAAUGGCAUGUAAAAACAAUGAAGUUUAGAGAUCGCCCGGUGAAAUUUACUGAGAGAUCCAGACCUGGAGUCCAGAUAUCUUGUUCAUCUUUCAGUUCUGGUGGUAUGUUCAUUACAACUGGUAGUACUGACCAUGUGAUUAGAAUAUAUUAUUUGGGUUCUGAGGUUCCUGAGAAAAUUGCUGAAUUAGAGUCACAUACGGAUAAAGUUGUUGCUGUUCAGUUCUGUAACAAUGGAGACAG